rnacentral:rRNA from 1 species
GCGAACGCUGGCGGCAGGCUUAACACAUGCAAGUCGAACGGGCACCUUCGGGUGUCAGUGGCAGACGGGUGAGUAACACGUGGGAACGUACCCUUCGGUUCGGAAUAACUCAGGGAAACUUGAGCUAAUACCGGAUACGCCCUUUUGGGGAAAGGUUUACUGCCGAAGGAUCGGCCCGCGUCUGAUUAGCUUGUUGGUGGGGUAACGGCCUACCAAGGCGACGAUCAGUAGCUGGUCUGAGAGGAUGAUCAGCCACACUGGGACUGAGACACGGCCCAGACUCCUACGGGAGGCAGCAGUGGGGAAUAUUGGACAAUGGGCGCAAGCCUGAUCCAGCCAUGCCGCGUGAGUGAUGAAGGCCUUCGGGUUGUAAAGCUCUUUAGCCGAUGAUUAUAAUGACUGUAGUCGGAAAAUAAGCCCCGGCUAACUUCGU